UGCAAGUCGAACGAAGUAGCAAUACUUAGUGGCAGACGGGUGAGUAACAUGUGGGUAUCUGCCCUUUGGCCUGGAAUAACACGAGGAAACUUGUGCUAAUACCGGAUAAGUCUUUACGGAGAAAGCUUUAUGCACCAUUGGAUGAGCCCGCACUUGAUUAGUUUGUUGGUGGGGUAAUGGCCUACCAAGACUGUGAUCAAUAGCUGAUUUGAGAGGAUGAUCAGCCACAUUGGGACUGAGACACGGCCCAAACUCCUACGGGAGGCAGCAGUGGGGAAUCUUGCACAAUGGAGGAAACUCUGAUGCAGCGAUGCCGCGUGAGUGAAGAAGGCCCUUGGGUUGUAAAGCUCUUUCGUCGGGGAAGAAAAUGACUGUACCCGAAUAAGAAGGUCCGGCUAACUUCGUGCCAGCAGCCGCGGUAAUACGAAGGGACCUAGCGUAGUUCGGAAUUACUGGGCUUAAAGAGUUCGUAGGUGGUUGAAAAAGUUAGUGGUGAAAUCCCAGAGCUUAACUCUGGAACUGCCAUUAAAACUUUUCAGCUAGAGUAUGAUAGAGGAAAGCAGAAUUUCUAGUGUAGAGGUGAAAUUCGUAGAUAUUAGAAAGAAUACCAAUUGCGAAGGCAGCUUUCUGGAUCAUUACCGACACUGAGGAACGAAAGCAUGGGUAGCGAAGAGGAUUAGAUACCCUCGUAGUCCAUGCCGUAAACGAUGUGUGUUAGACGUUGGAAAUUUACUUUCAGUGUCGCAGCGAAAGCGAUAAACACACCGCCUGGGGAGUACGACCGCAAGGUUAAGACUCAAAUGAAUUGACGGGGACCCGCACAAGUAGUGGAGCAU
rnacentral:rRNA from 1 species